GAUGAAGAACGUAGCGAAAUGCGAUAAGUAGUGUGAAUUGCAGAAUUCAGUGAAUCAUCGAAUCUUUGAACGCACAUUGCGCCCUUUGGUAUUCCUUAGGGCAUGCCUGUUCGAGCGUCAUUUAAACCUUCAAGCUAAGCUUGGUGUUGGGUGACUGUCCGCUUCACUGCGGACUCGCCUCAAAAUUAUUGGCGGCCGGUACAUUGGCUUCGAGCGCAGCAGAAACGCGAACUCGGGCCCGUCGUAUUGGCUCCCAGAAGCUAUCUUCACAAUUUUGACCUCGGAUCAGGUAGGGAUACCCGCUGAACUUAAGCAUAUCAAUAAGGGAGGA
rnacentral:misc_RNA from 1 species